GAAGCUGCGAACGGCUCAUUACAACAGAGGUAACCUGCUCUCGGUAAAAAACGGAUAACUAUGCUAAUUGUGUGGCUAAUACGUGAAAUCAAUCUGCGGGUUGCUCCAAUUACUUAUCAGCUCCUAACUUGAUUGUUUGCUGGGUGCUUAGACAUUUUGUCUUCCGAGAAUGGGUCUCUGAUCUAUCAGUUGUUGACGGUUGUGUUUUGGAUAACCGUGGCGUUGACGGAUAACGGGGAAUUAGGGUUCGAUUCCGGAGAGAACGCAUGAGACACGGCGUUCACGGCUAAGGUUGGCGUUCAGAUGUCGUUUCGAGCAGCAAGUUCAGGGCAAGUCUGGUGCCAGCAGCCGCGGUAAUACCAGCUGAGCUAGAAAUGGGUAACAUUGUUGCAGUAAAAACGUACGUAGUCACUUUUGUUGCUGUACGCACGUUCCAGAACGUGUUAUGCUCAACCUCUUGUGCUCUGUUUAGGGUGCGAGCUCCGCGAGUAAACUAGAAUGAUUGACUUGAAUGUUUGGAUAUGACAGCGUGGGAAAUCUGAUGAUGCCGAGGAUUUGUUGCUCAAUUUGCUUAACCUUCGGGAUAUACUGUAAGAAUGAAUGAGGGCAUCAGUACUUAGUAGCUAGAGGUGAAAUUCCUAGAUUUGCUAAUGACUAACGACUGCGAAAGCAUUUGUCUAAUUCAUUUUUGGUGAUCAAGUACUAAAGAGUGGGGAUCGAAGAGGAUUAGAUACCCUCGUAGUCCACUCCCUAAACCAUGCCGACUAGAAGUUGGUGUAUCGUCAUGGAACUUCAUCAGAACCUUAGCAGAUAUGAUAGUCUUUGGGCUCUGGGGGGAGUACGGUCGCAAGGUCGAAACUUAAAGGAAUUGACGGAACGGCACCACCAGGGGUGGAGCGUGCGGCUUAAUUUGACUCAACGCGGGAAACCUUACUAGGGUAAGACACUGGUACGAUUGACAGAUUACUUGAUCUUUCUUGAUUUGGUGGGUGGUGGCGCAUGGCCGAUCUUAGUUGGUGGGGUGACCCGUCUGGUUAAUUUCGAUAACGAACGAGAUCCGAGCUGUCUAGUUGGCGAUUUCUCCCAAUGUGAGGAUUCAGUCUCCUAUAUGGACUGUCAGUUAGAGGCUGAAGGAGGUUUCGGGCUAAAUCAGGUCUGUGAUGCCCUUAGACACUCUAGGCGGCACGCGCGCUACAAUGGGUGGAAUAUUGUGUUACUUCUCACGUGAGAGAGGGUGAAUCAAGAAUUCCGACCCGUGAAUGGGAUAGUUUAUUGCAAUUUUCGGACUUGAACUAGGAAUCCCUUGUAAGUACUCUCAAGAAUAGUGUGCUGAAUACGUCCCUGCCCUUUGUAGGCUUCGCCC
rnacentral:rRNA from 1 species